UACGUAGGGGGCAAGCGUUGUCCGGAUUUAUUGGGCGUAAAGAGCGUGUAGGCGGCCAUUCAGGUCAGCUGUGAAAACUCGAGGCUCAACCUCGAGACGUCGGUUGAAGCCGUUUGGCUAGAGUCCGGAAGAGGAGAGUGGAAUUCCCGGUGUAGCGGUGAAAUGCGCAGAUAUCGGGAAGAACACCCGUGGCGAAGGCGGCUCUCUGGGACGGUACUGACGCUGAGGUGCGAAAGCGUGGGGAGCAAACAGG
rnacentral:rRNA from 1 species